GACCCACAGGACUAUGCGGACAUGACUGCAAUGCUCCAGAAGGUUGGAAAGAGUUCACCGGAAUAGCUCCGGGACUGCCGAGGGAGCUGCGAUUUACCCACCCAAAAUGCUUAUGGCAGGAAGGCGGGAAUAAUUUAUGUGGAUACUACGUUUGCGAGUUCAUCUACAAUGCGACCUCUCAGUGGGGCUAUUCUGAUGAACAAUAUGAAGCUAUCUAAAUAUCUAUCUGGACCAUGCAUGCAUCGCCAUGAAAGGGGUCGCGACGUCUGGACCAUGCAUGCAUCGCCAUGAAAGGGGUCGCGAGAGUGGCACCUGACACCAACCAACUAAAUGCAUGCAUGGCCACUAAUGCAUACGAGGAGGAGUGGGAGACGAAGAUGUGGUGUUCCCAUUUCUAGGAUCAACUAGUCUUGUAAACAAAGCAUGCAGGGAAAAGAGAUGGUAAUAGAGAGGGGCCACCCAAGAUAUGAUAGCUUGGACCACGGGGUUGGAAAGAUGGUGACAGGUCCGUCGUUCCUU